ensembl:lncRNA
CAGAUGCUCAUCUCUGCCAAAACUCACGUGACUACAACACAAACACAGCAUCACAGUUCAUCACUUUACUUUAAUUGCUUCUUCACUCAGGAUUAACCAACAGAAGCUGAAGGAAUGGCAGACAUUACUCAGACACCUGUGAACACGGAGCAGUGGUUAGAGUCCAAGACAGUGAAAUCAUCGUCAUUAUACUUCUGACUGAACUAGCAAGGAGCAUUAGAGACAAUGAGAAAAACUCAAAAGAAGAUACUUUGAAGAAUGCUGGUAAUCAAACCCAACAAGUUUGUCAGGUGCAGAAAUAAAAGGUCCCAAACAAAGAUGUCACCGGAUUAAGAUGUGGAAAGACAUGUUACACCACAACAACCAUAAAUCCUGAGUAAUUUGAAUAUGGGCAACAACCGAGGAAAAGUACCCAUUGUUUUAGUCAGAAAUGAUUCAUGGUAAUAGUAAUAGUAAAUGAUUAGAUAAAUAAAUAAAAAGCACAAAAUGGUUUUAAUUUUAAACUCUGCCAUUUACUAAUGGGUUAUUUAAAACACUAAGUUUUGGUGUAUCUUUACAAUAAGGUAUCAUUAGUUAACAUUAGUAAAUGCUGAAAUUAACAUUAAAUAAUGAGCAAUACAUUUGUUACAAUUUGCAUUAAUCUUUGAUACGGUUAAAAAACAACUGUUCUUUGUUAGUUCAUGUUGGCUCUGAUCCAUUAAAUAAUGUCAACAGGCACAACUUUUGUUCUCAAUGUAUUAGUAAAUUUU